CCACACAUCACGAAUUUAACUCAAACAACUUCAUUUUUACUACACUGAAACUUUGGUGAGAAGAUUGAGUUUCAAAACUCAAUGGACGACUUGCGCUUUAGACUAAAUUUAAUCUACCUGUAAGUAAGAACAACGAAAUCUAACACCACAGCUAGAAAGAGCGUCUUGGAAUUAGUAAUAUUACAAAGUUUGGUUGCGAAAUGUUGUAAAAUACGGAAAAUAUAGCCCUUCAAAGUUGGCAAAUUUGUAUACUUUUGUAUCACGUGCGUGAAUUGGUAACUAAAUUAGUUACCAAUUUCCGCACGUAAUAGAAAUGUAUACAAAUUUGCCAAAUUC